rnacentral:rRNA from 1 species
GACGAACGCUGGCGGCGUGCUUAACACAUGCAAGUCGAACGGUAAGGCCCUUCGGGGUACACGAGUGGCGAACGUGUGAGUAACACGUGGGCGCUCUGCCCUGCACUUCGGGAUAAGCCUGAGAAACUGGGUCUAAUACCGGAUAGGACCACUGCCUGCAUGGGUGGUGGUGGAAAGCUCUUGCGGUGUGGGAUGGGCCCGCGGCCUGGCAGCUUGUUGGUGGGGUGAUGGCCUACCAAGGCGACCACGGGUAGCCGGGCUGAGAGGGUGACAGGCCACACUGGGACUGAGAUACGGCCCAGACUCCUACGGGAGGCAGCAGUGGGGAAUAUUGCACAAUGGGCGCAAGCCUGAUGCAGCGACGCCGCGUGAGGGAUGACGGCCUUCGGGUUGUAAACCUCUUUCAGCACCGACGAAGCGCAAGUGACGGUAGGUGCAGAAGAAGGACCGGCCAACUACGUGCCAGCCGCCGCCGUAA